rnacentral:tRNA from 1 species
CUGACUGAGGUGGAAUUGGUUGCCACACCUGUUUGUGAAGCAGGAGAAUCGGGUUCGAGUCCCGGCAGACAGC